AUUGAACGCUGGCGGCAGGCCUAACACAUGCAAGUCGAGCGGAUGAAGGGAGCUUGCUCCUGGAUUCAGCGGCGGACGGGUGAGUAAUGCCUAGGAAUCUGCCUGGUAGUGGGGGAUAACGUCCGGAAACGGGCGCUAAUACCGCAUACGUCCUGAGGGAGAAAGUGGGGGAUCUUCGGACCUCACGCUAUCAGAUGAGCCUAGGUCGGAUUAGCUAGUUGGUGGGGUAAAGGCCUACCAAGGCGACGAUCCGUAACUGGUCUGAGAGGAUGAUCAGUCACACUGGAACUGAGACACGGUCCAGACUCCUACGGGAGGCAGCAGUGGGGUAUAUUGGACAAUGGGCGAAAGCCUGAUCCAGCCAUGCCGCGUGUGUGAAGAAGGUCUUCGGAUUGUAAAGCACUUUAAGUUGGGAGGAAGGGCAGUAAGUUAAUACCUUGCUGUUUUGACGUUACCAACAGAAUAAGCACCGGCUAACUUCGUG
rnacentral:rRNA from 1 species